rnacentral:rRNA from 1 species
GAUGAACGCUGGCGGCGUGCUUAACACAUGCAAGUCGAACGAAGCAUUUGCGACAGAUUUUUUCGGAAUGAAGUUGCUUAUGACUGAGUGGCGGACGGGUGAGUAACGCGUGGGUAACCUGCCUUGUACUGGGGGAUAGCAGCUGGAAACGGCUGGUAAUACCGCAUAAGCGCACAAUGUUUCAUGACAUGGUGUGAAAAACUCCGGUGGUAUAAGAUGGACCCGCGUCUGAUUAGCUAGUUGGUGAGAUAACAGCCCACCAAGGCGACGAUCAGUAGCCGACCUGAGAGGGUGACCGGCCACAUUGGGACUGAGACACGGCCCAGACUCCUACGGGAGGCAGCAGUGGGGAAUAUUGCACAAUGGAGGAAACUCUGAUGCAGCGACGCCGCGUGAGUGAAGAAGUAAUUCGUUAUGUAAAGCUCUAUCAGCAGGGAAGAUAGUGACGGUACCUGACUAAGAAGCGCCGGCUAAAUACGUG